GACAGAGGGUGCAAACGUUGUUCGGAAUUACUGGGCGUAAAGGGAGCGUAGGCGGGUUAUCAAGUUGGGGGUGAAAGCCCGGGGCUCAACCUCGGAAUUGCCUUCAAAACUGAUAACCUGGAGUAUGGAAGAGGUAAGUGGAACUCCGAGUGUAGAGGUGAAAUUCGAAGAUAUUCGGAAGAACACCAGUGGCGAAGGCGACUUACUGGUCCAUUACUGACGCUGAGGCUCGAAAGCGUGGGGAGCAAGCAGG
rnacentral:rRNA from 1 species